rnacentral:rRNA from 1 species
GAUGAACGCUGGCGGCGUGCCUAAUACAUGCAAGUCGAGCGAACAGACGAGGAGCUUGCUCCUCUGACGUUAGCGGCGGACGGGUGAGUAACACGUGGAUAACCUACCUAUAAGACUGGGAUAACUUCGGGAAACCGGAGCUAAUACCGGAUAACAUGUUGAACCGCAUGGUUCAACAGUGAAAGACGGUCUUGCUGUCACUUAUAGAUGGAUCCGCGCCGCAUUAGCUAGUUGGUAAGGUAACGGCUUACCAAGGCAACGAUGCGUAGCCGACCUGAGAGGGUGAUCGGCCACACUGGAACUGAGACCCGGUCCAGACUCCUACGGGAGGCAGCAGUAGGGAAUCUUCCGCAAUGGGCGAAAGCCUGACGGAGCAACGCCGCGUGAGUGAAGAAGGUCUUCGGAUCGUAAAACUCUGUUAUUAGGGAAGAACAAAUGUGUAAGUAACUAUGCACGUCUUGACGGUACCUAAUCAGAAAGCCACGGCUAACUACGU